UCAAAUGCCGUGAUGGGGAAGAGUAUGAAUAAUCGCCUUUUCAGAGAGGGAGCCAUAGGUGAGAGGCUUCUAAGGUAUGAAGUUCAGAAUGUCGCCCCGGAUGCAGCUUCUUUGAACGCAAGUAGAAGAAGACGGUCCACGUCCGUUAACGUAUGAGUGUACACACACGACACGUGUAUGUAAAUAAAGGUGGUACCACGGAAGUCCUUUCGUCCUUUGC
rnacentral:ncRNA from 1 species